rnacentral:rRNA from 1 species
AUUGAACGCUGGCGGCAGGCCUAACACAUGCAAGUCGAGCGGAUGAAGGGAGCUUGCUCCUGGAUUCAGCGGCGGACGGGUGAGUAAUGCCUAGGAAUCUGCCUGGUAGUGGGGGAUAACGUCGGGAAAGGGGGGCUAAUACGGCAUACGUCCUGAGGGAGAAAGUGGGGGAUUUUCGGACCUCACGCAAUCAGAUGAGCCUAGGUCGGAUUAGCUAGUUGGUGGGGUAAAGGCCUACCAAGGCGACGAUCCGUAACUGGUCUGAGAGGAUGAUCAGUCACACUGGAACUGAGACACGGUCCAGACUCCUACGGGAGGCAGCAGUGGGGAAUAUUGGACAAUGGGCGAAAGCCUGAUCCAGCCAUGCCGCGUGUGUGAAGAAGGUCUUCGGAUUGUAAAGCACUUUAAGUUGGGAGGAAGGGCAGUAAGUUAAUACCUUGCUGUUUUGACGUUACCAACAGAAUAAGCACCGGCUAACUUCGUG